rnacentral:rRNA from 1 species
AUGGAGGCUGUGGUGAGCGCUUCACAUGGCGCUUUCGGGCCCCUGCUGGUGAAACUCAACGAUUUGCUCGCCGGCGAGUACGCCCGACUGAAAGGGGUCCGCCGUGAGAUGCGCUCCCUCAGGUCUGAGCUUAGCAACAUGCAUGCUGCGCUCCAAAAGUACACGAUGCUACAAGAUCCCGAUAUCCAAGUGAAGGCAUGGAUAUCGGAGGUCAGGGAGUUGGCCUAUGAUACCGAGGACUGCGUCGACAAGUUCAUUCACCGCCUCGGCAGUCCUGGCGCCAGGCACCACCACCACCGCGGCAUCAAGGAGUUCUUCCGCAGGAGCGCUCGUCGUCUGAAGACACUUGGAUCCCGGCGCCAAAUUGCCAAGCAAAUUGUUGAACUCAAGGCUCGUGUUAUGUCAGUAAAAGAUCAGAGGACUAGCUACAAGCUUGAUGAUAUGGUUUGUGGCACUUCUGGUCAUGCAGUUGUCGAUCCACGUCUGGCUGCUCUUUUUAUCGAGGAGGCACAUCUUAUGGGUAUUGAAGAUCCUAGAGAUGAUCUUGCCAAGUGGGCACUAGAUGCGGAAAACAGCUUGGGCAGGCGUUGCAGGUUUUUGUCUAUUUUUGGAUUUGGUGGGUUGGGAAAGACAACACUAGCAAAUGAAGUCUACCGUAAGAUCAGAGAGCAUUUUCAUUGCCAUGCUUUUGUAUCCGUAUCGCAAAAGCCCGAUGUUAGAAAAAUCAUCAAGGAUAUAAUCUCCCAAGUGCCAUGCCACGAUGUAUUUACAAAGGACAUUCAAUUUUGGGAUGAAAAGAGAUCCAUUGAAAAGCUAAGGGAGCUGCUACAAGAUAAAAGGUAA